rnacentral:rRNA from 1 species
UACGUAGGGGGCAAGCGUUGUUCGGAAUUACUGGGCGUAAAGGGCGUACAGGCGGCUAUAUAAGUCGGAUGUGAAAUCCUUGGGCUUAACCCAAGACUUGCACUCGAUACUGUAUAGCUUGAGAUCAGGAGAGGAGAGUGGAAUAUGUGGUGUAGCGGUGAAAUGCGUAGAGAUCACAUAGAACACCGGUGGCGAAGGCGGCUCUCUGGCCUGAUUCUGACGCUGACGCGCGAAAGCUAGGGUAGCGAACGGGAUUAGAUACCCGCGUA